CCCGGUGGCUAUAGCGGAGGGGUCCCACCCGUUCCCAUUCCGAACACGGCAGUUAAGCCCUCCAGCGCCGAUGGUACUGCAGGGGCGACCCUGUGGGAGAGUAGGUCGUCGCCGGGG
rnacentral:rRNA from 1 species